CCUACGGGGGGCUGCAGUGGGGAAUAUUGGACAAUGGGCGAAAGCCUGAUCCAGCAAUACCGCGUGUGUGAAGAAGGCCUUCGGGUUGUAAAGCACUUUAAGUUGGGAAGAAAAAGCUUCACCUAAUACGUGGAGCCUUGACGGUACCGACAGAAUAAGCACCGGCUAACUCUGUGCCAGCAGCCGCGGUAAUACAGAGGGUGCUAGCGUUAAUCGGAUUUACUGGGCGUAAAGCGUGCGUAGGCGGUUUGAUAAGUCGAUUGUGAAAGCCCCGG
rnacentral:rRNA from 1 species